CAUUUAAAAUAAGCCUGGUAGUCUCAAAAAUAUAUUUAUUCAUGUUGGAAUUAUCUCCCUGCUAUUUAUGUGCAUGUAAUACAAAAUAAGAUGAUAAAGACAUUAACUGUAGAGAUUGAGUGUGGGUAAGUAAUUCCAUGCAUGUUGAUAGGAUUGGCUACAUGAGAAUGUCGAAACUAGUUCCUUAAAAUAUAUUAUUUACUUGAUGUCGCUUCUUUGUGUUGGUGGCUUGGUGCAGGUAUGAACGCCGGCUCUCAGAACUGUAUGCUCAAAUCCAGGGAAAACAUCGACAAACCCGUAAAUACUAUGCUACCUACAAUGCUCUUUUGGAAAUUAAAGAAUUGAUGCUAAAGGAAACAUCCUUAUUGAAUUCAAUCAAUUCACAGUUUCAAGAGGCCUUCAGUAGUAUGGAUGGUCGUGCAAAACUUGUUCAUUCCAUGGAAGGAAUUGUCAAGGGCAACUCUAUUACUGCACAUGAC